rnacentral:ncRNA from 2 species
CCUGAAAACGGCGAUGGGACCCGCCGGGGCAUAAGAGCCCGAACCGCAGACCUGCUGAUAGUUCCUGUUCGUUG